CAGACUAGAAAAGUAGGAAGAUUUUAAGAAAUUAAUCAAGGUUUUUAUAUUUGAUCUAGGAGCUAACAAAGAACCACUGGUGUUUCAGGGAUGGAGAAGAGAGUCAAUUUGAGGAGUACUCUAUGAAGGAGGCCCCCUUAAAGAUGCUUGCGACAGCCAGUGGAUAAAAAGCCUUCACCUAGAAAACUAAUCAAUACCUGGAGAGCACAACUCACAAUGUUUAACUCCAGAAAAUUCUUAAUCCAAAUCCUGCCUUGAACAAUUGCCACCUGCUGUAUGGACAAAUAGAUGUUAUUGAAAUGAGAAGGAAAACAGAUCAGAACUUUUGGAAAUUCAAGAGAAACCUUUCCAGUGAACAGUAAUCUCCAGAAUAUGCUGCCAUGACAAGAAUGUGAAUUGGAUUUGUUAGGCAGAGUUGCAUCGAGUCAUCAGAAUUGCUCUUUCCUCCAGUCCAUUGGCAAGGCAAAAAUCAAGACAACUGUUGAUGGCCCAGGAUGCAGUGGCUUACUUUGGCAUAUUUGAUGUCUCACAAGCUCUAAGCACUUCAAGGCACCUGCUUUAUUCACCUUCAUGGCCACUGGAACAGAUUGUUCUCAUCUACCCAUUCUAUUGGAAGAAGUCUUCACAUGCUUAGUGCAUGCUGCUUUAUCCUUAUCCCUGUAUUACAGAGAAGGACACCAGGACUCUAAGGAGCUGAGUAAUGUGGGCCUAGCCUCAAAGCUGAUUUCACUGAGGAUAUUGUUUUGAGUUUGAGGGAUGUACAUGAAUGGGACAACAUCACCUGCAAGGCAAUCAAUUUGAGAAGAUAUACAGGCUGGAAAUAAUGAAAAAGAAGAAAUGAAAAGAUCCAGGAGGUCCCAUUUCUAGUAGGCAUAUGACCUUGGGGGAAGAGGAGAGAAGGCAUCAUGGCCUUUUCCCCUUACAGUAUGGUCUCUCACCUGGCACUGUCAUACCACCACAAGGCAGCUGAAGAUGACGAGGCAGAAAGAGACAAAGAACAAGGAGCAAGCAUAGAGGCCUCCAAAUGGAGGAAUGCCUCUAGCGCCAACUAUCAAAGAGCCUCCCUUUUAAACUAUGGUUAGCUGGUUGGAACCAUUUACAGAAUGUCUGCUCACACUCUAAUAUCUCUAAAGUACUUCUCUGACUCAUUAUCAGCAUUAUCCCAGAAGCAGGCUCCCAGCCUUUCCAUGGUGAGAUACUGUCCCAGGAGCUUUGUGCUUGUA